rnacentral:tRNA from 1 species
GCCCGGGUAGCUCAGCGGUAGAGCGCACCCUUGGUAAGGGUGAGGGCGCCGGUUCAAGUCCGGUCCCGGGCUCCA